GCCGGGUGCGGUGGCACAUGCCUGUAGUCUCAGCUACUCAGGAGGCUGAGGUGGGAGGAUCGCUUGAGCCCAGCAGUUCUGGGCUGUAGUGCACUAUGCCGAUUGGGUGUCCUCACUAAGUUCAGCAUCAGUAUGGUGACAUACUGUGGGGGUGGGGGGGCACCAGGUUGCUUAAGGAAGGGUGACUCGGCCCAGGUCGGAAACGGAGCAGGUCAAAACUUUUGUGCUGAUCAGUAGUCGGAUCGUACCUGUGAAUAGCCACUGCACUCCAGCCUGGGCAACAUAGGGAGAGCCUGUCUCUA
rnacentral:SRP_RNA from 1 species